rnacentral:rRNA from 1 species
CUACGGGAGGCUGCAGUGAGGAAUAUUGGACAAUGGUCGAAAGACUGAUCCAGCCAUGCCGCGUGCAGGAUGAAUGCCCUAUGGGUUGUAAACUGCUUUUAUACGGGAAGAACACCACCCACGUGUGGGUGACUGACGGUACCGUAAGAAUAAGGACCGGCUAACUCCGUGCCAGCAGCCGCGGUAAUACGGAGGGUCCAAGCGUUAUCCGGAAUCAUUGGGUUUAAAGGGUCCGUAGGCGGGCUAUUAAGUCAGAGGUGAAAGUUUGCAGCUCAACUGUAAAAUUGCCUUUGAUACUGGUAGUCUUGAGUUAUAGUGAAGUGGUUAGAAUAUGUGGUGUAACGGUGAAAUGCAUAGAUAUCACAUAGAAUACCAAUUGCGAAGGCAGAUCACUAACUAUAUACUGACGCUGAUGGACGAAAGCGUGGGGAGCGAACGGGAUUAGAUACCCCUGUAGUC